rnacentral:rRNA from 1 species
AKSGSGGUGGKCMCACCUGACCCCAUGCCGAACUCAGAAGUGAAACGCCGUAGCGCCGAUGGUAGUGUGGGGUCUCCCCAUGCGAGAGUAGGGAACUGCCAGGC